rnacentral:lncRNA from 1 species
CUAAGAUCGGGUCCGGCGCUCCAGAACAGAACGAUCCCUGAGGCUCCCUUGCUCGAACUGUGGGACUUACCCUACUAUGGUCCGAGCCUACCCUAUUUCAUUAUACUCAAGUAACGCCCCAGAAAUUCCAGAGAAUCUCACACAAAGAGGUUGAGUCUUGCCGUGGUGCCUUCAGGGGAAUGUCAUCCCGGGCUAGAAGAGCUGCAAAAGGCUGUCAGGAUAACCUCUGCACUGUGUCCAUCCUCGUACAGCCAGGUUCCCUUGCUGUGG